GAUGAACGCUGGCGGCGUGCCUAAUACAUGCAAGUCGAGCGAACAGACGAGGAUCUUGCUCCUCUGACGUUAGCGGCGCACGGGUGAGUAACACGUGUAUCACCUACCUAUCAGACUGGGAUCACUUCGGGAAUCCGGCUCUUAUCCCGUAUAAUCUACUGAUCCGCAUUGUUCAUUAGUGAAUGACGGUUUUUCUGUCUCUUCUCGCUGCUUCCGCGCCGCAUUAGCUAGUUGGUAAGGUAACGGCUUACCAAGGCAACCAUGCGUAGCCGACCUGAGAGGGUGAUAGGCCACACUGGAACUGAGACACGGUCAAGACGCCUAAGGGAGGGAGCAGAAGGGAAUGGUCCGCAAUGGGCGAAAGCAUGACGGAGCAACGGCGCGUGAGUGAUGAAGGUCUUCGGAUCGUAAAACUCUGUUAUGAGGGAAGAACAAAUGUGUAAGGAAAUAUGCACGGCUUGACGGUAACGAAUCAGAAAGCAACGGCUAACUACGUG
rnacentral:rRNA from 1 species